AUUGAACGCUGGCGGCAUGCCUUACACAUGCAAGUCGAACGGCAGCGGACCUUCGGGUGCCGGCGAGUGGCGAACGGGUGAGUAAUAUAUCGGAACGUACCUUUCAGUGGGGGAUAACGUAGCGAAAGUUACGCUAAUACCGCAUAUUCUGUGAGCAGGAAAGCAGGGGAUCGCAAGACCUUGCGCUGAUUGAGCGGCCGAUAUCAGAUUAGCUAGUUGGUGAGGUAAAGGCUCACCAAGGCGACGAUCUGUAGCGGGUCUGAGAGGAUGAUCCGCCACACUGGAACUGAGACACAGUCCAGACUCCUACGGGAGGCAGCAGUGGGGAAUUUUGGACAAUGGGCGCAAGCCUGAUCCAGCCAUGCCGCGUGAGUGAAGAAGGCCUCGGUUGUAAG
rnacentral:rRNA from 1 species